GUCCCAGUAGCGCAAUAAAUAGCGCGUUGGACUUCUAAUCCAAAUGUUGUGGGUUCGGAUCCCACUUGGGAUG
rnacentral:tRNA from 1 species